AUUUGCUGCACCAAAUUACUUCUUGAUCCUACCCACCCUAAAUGACUAUCUCCUCCCAACUUGUCCAUUCCAACCACCACUACAAGCAAGAAAAGAAGAGUGAAAAAAUAAGCGUAAAAAUGUUAUCAAACAUGCUUAGUUUUGACAUUUUGGUUUGCUGAGAUGAAACUGAUAAAAGGAAAAUAUGGUCCUUUAAAUGCUCAAGUCCUCUUUGGCUCUUUUCAAUCAUUAAAUAUUUUGAUUGAUUUAUUUAUUGGCAGGCUAUAGCAACACAAAACAAGGAACAAGCUCGCCAAAUAUUACAUACAAUUCCUAACUUACCUAAACCAAUUUUCCAGGCACAACUAAUGCUGGGAUUGGUUACUCCUCAAAUGUUACAGAUGCCUAAUAUUCGGCAGUCCUCUGUUCCUCCACCUCAUUCCAUAUUGCCAGACAGUUGGAACACUUCCUGGGGGGAUACCUCCCCCUCACAGUUCAUUGGCCCAGACACAACCUCAGCUUCAGCUUCCACAAUCAGCUGAAAACAACA